GGAGGCGUAGCUCAGUCGGCAGAGCAGCUGACUCUUAAUCAGUAGGUCGUGGGUUCGAGUCCCUCCGCCUCUACCA
rnacentral:tRNA from 1 species